UUUAACUGAAGAGUUUGAUCAUGGCUCAGAUUGAACGCUGGCGGCAGGCUUAACACAUGCAAGUCGAGCGGGGGAAGGUAGCUUGCUACCGGACCUAGCGGCGGACGGGUGAGUAAUGCUUAGGAAUCUGCCUAUUAGUGGGGGACAACAUCUCGAAAGGGAUGCUAAUACCGCAUACGUCCUACGGGAGAAAGCAGGGGAUCUUCGGACCUUGCGCUAAUAGAUGAGCCUAAGUCGGAUUAGCUAGUUGGUGGGGUAAAGGCCUACCAAGGCGACGAUCUGUAGCGGGUCUGAGAGGAUGAUCCGCCACACUGGGACUGAGACACGGCCCAGACUCCUACGGGAGGCAGCAG
rnacentral:rRNA from 1 species